GUUCUAAUAGUUUAAAAUAAAACAUUGGUCUUGUAAACCAUAAAUAAGUUAAUACUUUUAAAACU
rnacentral:tRNA from 1 species